CAAGUACUCCCUCCGUCCGGAAUUACUUGUCAUCAAAAUGGAUGUGUCUAGAACUAAAAUACAUCUAGAUACAUCCAUUUCAAUGACAAGUAUUUUCGGACGGAUGGAGUACAAG
rnacentral:pre_miRNA from 1 species